rnacentral:rRNA from 1 species
AACGAACGCUGGCGGCGCGCCUAAUACAUGCAAGUCGAGCGAGAAGGUGUAGCAAUACACUUGUAAAGCGGCGAACGGGUGAGGAAUACAUGGGUAAUCUACCAUCGAGUGGGGAAUAACCAACCGAAAGGUUGGCUAAUACCGCGUACGCCUCCGAAUCUUCGGGUUCGGAGGGAAAGCUGCACUGUGAGUGUAGCGCUCUUUGAUGAGCUCAUGUCCUAUCAGCUUGUUGGUAGGGUAACGGCCUACCAAGGCUUUGACGGGUAGCUGGUCUGAGAGGACGAUCAGCCACACUGGCACUGCGACACGGGCCAGACUCCUACGGGAGCAGCAGUAAGGAAUAUUGCGCAAUGGGCGAAAGCCUGACGCAGCGACGCCGCGUGGGGGAUGAAGGUCUUCGGAUUGUAAACCCCUUUCGGGAGGGAAGAUGGAGCGAGCAAUCGUUCGGACGGUACCUCCAGAAGCAGCCACGGCCAACUUCGUGCCAGCAGCCG